CGGGACUAAAAGGGAGCUAGCAAUUACUGUAGUUUUACUAUGACCUGGAAGGAAGCCUGUUCUUCUUUGCAUCUCUGCUCACUUGAAGGAGUAUUGUACUAGCAGUUUUGUUUGUUUUUAAAAACCCAAUAUUUGUCUUGGGCUACCCACUCAGAAAGCGCCUGACCUGGGAAGCAUGCCUGAAAUGAAUGGGGCGGGAGGAGGGAAAUCUAGAGGAGUGCAGGGUCUCCUUCAGACCUGAUGACAGCCAGGAGUUUCAGCGCAUCUGCAGAGAUAGACCAGGAACAAGCAUCGGUAUCUGAUUGCAGUCCGGCUUCCUGGGAGAUACUAUUGUGUGACAGUGUUCCAAGGAAUUUGACUUUGACAGCAGGGAGAGGAUUGCCUGUCCUGAUUCAUCCAGAAAUCCGAGAUUUCUGAGGCUGAGUCUCCUGAUGUCACAAGGCUGCCAACCCUGGGGAAAUGGGGUAACCCCAAGUGGCCAGAGGUCAACCUUUGACACCUGUCUGGCUGAGAAAAAAGAAGAAAAAGUUGGGGAAAGAUCAAAACUUUGGAAAUGGAGACCAUUUCUGGCAAGUUGGCAACCCUCAGUGGAACUUGGCUCUUAAAAAAAAAGUAUUAAAAUCAAAUGUUUGCUAAAAUUAUCUGAUAACUAUUUUCAAUCAUGUUAGACCAUUUAUAAUGAGACAUUUUGCUGUUUCACAUGGACUUCAGAAGACAAACUGGGACAUUUUCUCAUUGCUGAGAAGACGUAUGCACAUUGAAUAUGAUGUGUUUGGGUAUUUACUUUGAGUAUUGAUUUAAUUGAGUCCAUUGAGUAUGCUGAUCACCUCGCUAGAUCAGCCCAUGGCCCCCAAAGCACAGCCAUAUAUGUGUAUUGAAGCAGGGUUGCAUAAUUUUGGCUCUCCUGCAGAUAUUGGACUUCAACUCCCACCAUCCCUUAUUGGCCACUGUGGCUGGUGAAGAUUGGAGUUGUGGUUCAAAAGCAGCUGGAAGACUGUUGUUGUUCAGCCCUGUAUUAAAGCCUUGUGAUCCCAGCCCCAGCUGAAUUCCUUGAUUUACAACCAUCAGGCUCAUCCUAAUUUGUCAAUUUUGUUUCCUACUUCAUUCAACGUGUAGGUUUUCAUGAUUUUAUUUCUGUGAACCUCUGCAUUUCAGCUAUGUACAGUAUUUUUAAAAAACCACUGUAUAAUUAAAAAGGU